rnacentral:rRNA from 1 species
UGGGGAAUUUUGCGCAAUGGGCGAAAGCCUGACGCAGCAACGCCGCGUGAGGGAUGACGGCCUUCGGUUGUAAACCUCUUUCGGCAGGGAAGAAGCCGCAAGGUGACGGUACCUGCAUAAGAAGCCCCGGCUAACUGCGUGCCAGCAGCCGCGGUAAUACGUAGGGGGCGAGCGUUGUCCGGAGUUACUGGGCGUAAAGAGCGCGUAGGCGGUCUGCCAAGUCUGAUGUGAAACUCCUCGGCUCAACCGGGGGCCUGCAUUGGAUACUGGCAGACUAGAGUGCAGUAGGGGAGAGUGGAAUUCCUGGUGUAGCGGUGAAAUGCGCAGAGAUCAGGAGGAACACCGGUGGCGAAGGCGGCUCUCUGGGCUGCAACUGACGCUGAGGCGCGAAAGCUAGGGGAGCAAACAGGAUUAGGAUACCCUGGUAGUCCUAGCCGUAAACGUUGGGCACUAGGUGUGCUCGGUUUUCUGCCGGGUGUGCCGAAGCUAACG